UACGUAGGGGGCUAGCGUUGUCCGGAAUCAUUGGGCGUAAAGAGCGCGUAGGCGGCCAGAUAAGUCCGGUGUGAAAGUCAAAGGCUCAACCUUUGAAUGCCGCUGGAAACUGUCUGGCUAGAGUCCGGGAGAGGUGAGUGGAACUGCGAGUGUAGAGGUGAAAUUCGUAGAUAUUCGCAAGAACACCAGUGGCGAAGGCGGCUCACUGGCCCGGUACUGACGCUGAGGUGCGAAAGCGUGGGGAGCAAACAGG
rnacentral:rRNA from 1 species